rnacentral:lncRNA from 1 species
CAAACACUAUAAUGCUGUCCCACAACUCCUUUAAUUCCACGGUGGUCCCGGUCACCCUCUGUCAUGCUUGUGCAAAGUUGUUCCAGUUGGUAUGGGUUGCCUCUUAUUUAAGUAGGUAUAAGAUUUGUAACAAAUGUCUGAUACAGUAUCUGAGCUCACUCUAAAGACAUAGAUAGGUCCCAGUUCUUAAUAUUUUUUUUUCCAACAUAGGAGAAACCCAAGUCAGAAGCAAGGUGUCCGAUGUAAUAUACUGUAAGAAAACACGAUCAGUCACUUCUUUGACUGCCCUGCAACAACAUAACUCUGUGUCCUCUAUUUAAAAACCUUAAUUUAUUGGUUUCCUGAAAAUGUCUAUCCAGUAAAUUUUGUUAUAAGCUAUAUAAAGCAUAGAGCUGGGAUGGAAAGUUCUACACUAAAGUUUUUAACUAUUGAAUAAUUAUAUAAUAUACGGUGUUCUGUGGACAUCUGAAAGAGAUCAGCUAUGAAAUAUGAAGUGAAAAGGGAUUCAGGCAAAGUGAAAUCCUGGCUUAUGACUUAGUAAUACACAUGAACCACAAUGCCAAAUGGAAAAUAUAGUUUUAAUUAUUUUUAGAAUACAAAAUAAUAAUAGGUGGCCUGUGGCCCUCUUACUUAUAUUUCUAGAUUUGAUGCCUAAAUCGAUGUUUUUCUUCAGUGAAAAAUGAAUCUUACGAGUAUCUCUGGAUCUGAUAAAUGGGAAAAGAGUGAUAAAGUAGCUUUAAUCUCAGUUUCAUUUUAAGCCAUUUGCAACAACAACAAAAUCUUCUGUAUUAAAUUUAAAGCUUUAACUUUCUUAUCGUGAGAUUAUUAGCUGAGAUGCCAGCUAACUGGAAGCUUAUUUUGAAGUCAGCACUUAAUAACUAAAGUGUAAAAUAAUUCAUCCAUUAUAUUGAAAUACACUUUUUUCACAGUCAAAUUAUAAAGAAAAAUAUCAUUUGCCCCCUUUUUCCUGAGGGGAAUGAGAAACUAAGUUUAUAGCAACAUGAAUAGUGUUGGUAUGUCACAUAUUUAACUACUGUUAUGUGAAGCUGCCAAAGCAGUUUGAGUUCAAAAUACCCAUUUAUACCACAAUUACACGUGGGAUAUUUAGUGGUCAUCUGUCAGUACUGCUCUGAUUGCAAAUACAGGUGAGAAUACAAACUUAGAAUCUUCCUCUGCAUUGACUUAAGCUGAUCUGCUGUUGUGUAUUAACUAGUUGCACUGGAAAAAAGAAUGAAGCAAACUCAGAUAAUUGGUCAUCAGCUAAUCAAUGGCUUUUUGGCUUCUGGAAAGCCAGCGGAAUGGGAACCAAAAGCUGCUUGGGAAAGAGAAGGCUGAAGCCUUCCUGCGCCAUAAGUCAUUCACUCAGAUAUUUGUUGUGGUAUAAAUGGCCUUCACGAUAUUUUUCCAUGGCCAAAAAACCAAUAUCAAAUUGCUAAAUAUUUGACUUUGGGUUAUGAAGAUCUGUAUCAUCGUUCAGACUUUCUGAAGAAGUUUUUGUAUGUUUCAUGCUGUACAAAACAUGAAUGUAUCUUUGGGACGAAAUGAACUGGAUGUGAUUGGUGUUACGACUGUUGGAUUUGACGGACAAUUAUUUUCAUACCAUUUGAUUAGGAAAAAUACUGGGUGGGUGGAGAAAGAGUAUGUUUGUAAUGCUUCCAUGAUACAGAUCCAGCUUAAAAAAGAAAUAAUGAAGUUUCCAUUGUAAAUAAGAGCAAUAUUAUGAGAGUUUUGUGCCAAUGUAUAACAUCGAGACUUUUUCCUUUUCAGUUCAAAUUCAAAACUACCACUACCAUCUCUUGUUUAAAGUGGACGUGAAGGUUUUUCUGUCAGCAGAAAAAUGAGGUUCUUGAGAAGGCUUUGCGUGUUUUGGGGGGCAUUUAUAACUUCUGCUAAAUAUGAAAUAAGAUGCUGGUAAAUCACCGACACAUUGUCAGCCAAUCCCUUCUGAGAAAUGCUGCUUUACAUACACCAGAGAGCUGAAAACUUCAUUUAUCCUGAAUUUGAAGCAUUUGGUGAUUUAAACAGUGUGCGUGUCUGAAGCAGCAAGCCGCUGCUUUGAGAUAUUCCCUCCUACUUCUGAAUAACAGUUUGAUUUUAUUGCACCACAUUUAAUGCUAACUGAAGGUUCUUCUGCGUUUCUCUGUUAAAUGUUGGAAGCUUACAUCUCAUGUAGGUAAAACAACAGCGCUUCAUCUAGAAUAGCUGAUUGUGGCCUGGUGCACCAUCCGAGAGAGAGGAGGUGAGAAAGCAGUUGGGAUAUGAAAGUACGUGAGGAGUUUGUUGUGGAACCUGGCAGCCUUCCUUGGAGAGCUUCUGGAAAGCUGUGUGGUACCCACGGAGGCCAAGACCCAGCAGUACUGCCCGGGGAGAUGGGAAGUAGAGAAGGUCCUGCAUAGUGAUGCCAGACCUCCAGUUGUGCCGUGGAGCUGAACUACGUGAUAUCUUUAUGCUUGUGUAGGUGUGUGGGCGAUGGUUGGUGGCUCAGGGAAUUAGUAUGAGUGUGAAAAAUACUCUACAGAUACCAGGUUGUCCAAUACUUACGGUGUAGCUGUGACUGUAGAGCUGUUACUGCAGGCAAUCUGAAGGGCCCUGAGGAUAAAGGAAGGAAUUGGAAUAUUGUCCAAAUUCAAGAUCUGCUUAUUAGGAUUUUCACACAGGACAGGAAUGGUGCCUUCUUAUGGCAUUCACAGUCGUUUUGUACUGUGCAGGUCCCCAGCAGGCUAGGUGUAUUUUAGAACCCACCUUUUAUCUUCCAUUGCUACUAUCAGUGCUGGGGUCUAAUAUCAAAAUCUGAGAAAAAGAUGUUCACUGAUGAAACGUAGAUCUUGCAUGAAAUUGCAGUUUGUACUUAGUUGGUGAUUGGGAAGCUGUUACAAGGAGAAAGGAGUCGGUUUGUUUUAGUGUAAUGUUUUGUCCAAUCUCAUUUAUCUCCAUCACCGCUGCAUUUCAGCUCUGUGCUAGCUGCUGCCACCAGUGUGCAUCUGCAGUUUGUUGGGCUUCUCCAGCUACAGAUGGAAGCAGUGCAUAACCUGCAAGCUCCCGCUGCUCACUGGGGCAAAAAAUACAUCCUCUUUGUUUUCUCUAAACCAUCUCACCUAAAAAAUGGACUAAAAUAUCCAUCAUUCCUGUAUUCUGUAAGAUGAAGUUUGGUUUUAGGGGCUGGCUGACAGUUUGCUGGUGGUGGUAUUUCAUAUUUAGCAAGCUCACGUGUUUUAAAGGAUGAUUUUUCUCAAAGUGUUUUGAUGUUUGAAUGGUAGCACUUUAUCUCAUGCUUACUACUGACUGAACUAUCAGAGAAAAAUAAAUUGGGUUUGCAGAGAGAUGCGCAAUGGGUUUCUGUGCAGAGAUGAUUUGGGUUACACCCCGGUACGAAUGCUUCCAGCUGCUCCAACCAUGUCCGGGUUAUUGUUUGUGUAUUUGAGGGCUUUUCAGGAAACAGAUUAUUAACAACUAAUCGUCUCGAUUUUUCUGUCGUAAGAAGAACGUAAAAGCUUGCAUUUCCAAAAAGUGCCAAUAGAAAUACAGGGUACACUGAUCUGUGAUCUCCCUCAGCUGCACAUUAGCUAUGUUUACUGUAGAUGUUUCUGUUAAGCCUUGUUUUGAACAUUAGUUCAAUUGCCUGGAAAUCUUUUUGUUUGUUUGUUUUACUUUGGAUUUUGAUAACCAAAAGUAAUGCACAACAAAGUUUAAAGAUGAUGAUGUCCUUUUCUGCAUGGGCCGGGGGGCUGAGACAUGAGCAAAAGGGUUUCAACUGUUUACAUUAAGCUGUUUUCUCUAAGGAGAGUAUAUCCACAAAGAGCAGACUAUGAACUGUGCAGUGCAGUGAUCUCAGUACAUCGGGGCACCGCAGUAACAACUCAUCACAGGAAAAGCAAGGUUGAAAAGGACAGAAACUUGAAAUGGGUCAACACUGCACAAAGUGAAAAGGAUUCAGCUUUUGUCACUGCAGCUGCUGUAUGCGAUAAGGGCCUUACGCAUCUGUCCUCAGUUGGAUAAAACUUGCCGUUAAGUGACACGGUGACGUCCUACCGAAAACCAGCAGUUCCCAGCAUUGAUACGCGAUUAACAUUAACAGGUCUUGUUUCAGCCUAAAGUAAAAUCUCAUUUUAUUAUGUGGAGAAAAAAAAAAAAAAAGCUGUUAUGCAUAUUUUGUGGAUAUAUUUAAUUUCAGUUGACAAAUAGUUGUCUGGGUACAGACUUGAAAAUAUAUAUAUAGUUUACUUGUGGAUCUUAAUUGUUUAAUUGCAAAAUAAAGACGUGCUUUAGUAAUUUAAU